rnacentral:rRNA from 1 species
GCAAGGAAUCUUGGGCAAUGGGCGAAAGCCUGACCCAGCGACGCCGCGUGGGGGAAGAAGGCCCUCGGGUUGUAAACCCCUUUUCUCAGGGAAGAAUAAUGACGGUACCUGAGGAAGAAGUCACGGCUAACUACGUGCCAGCAGCCGCGGUAAUACGUAGGUGGCAAGCGUUAUCCGGAAUUAUUGGGCGUAAAGAGAGCGCAGGCGGCUUUUCAAGUCGGAUGUGAAAGCUCCCGGCUCAACUGGGAGAGGUCAUCCGAGACUGUCAGGCUAGAGAGCAGCAGAGGGAGGUGGAAUUCCCGGUGUAGUGGUGAAAUGCGUAGAUAUCGGGAGGAACACCAGUGGCGAAGGCGGCCUCCUAGGCUGUUUCUAACGCUGAGGCUCGAAAGCGUGGGGAGCGAACAGGAUUAGAUACCCCAGUAGUCC